UACGUAGAGUGCAAGCGUUGUCCGGAAUUAUUGGGCGUAAAGGGUACGCAGGCGGAUAGAUAAGUCAGAAGUGAAAUCCAAUAGCUUAACUAUUGAACUGCUUU
rnacentral:rRNA from 1 species